GAUAAGUACCGUUGGCUUAUUUUUCCCCUCUUCAGGCAGAAGAAGCAUGAUAGGGUCUGGGACUGCCUGGUGAUGCCUGUCUACCAGCCAUGUCUGGAAGUUGGAGAGAUCACAUGGCCACAAGUGGGUGUCCUGCCUUGGACUUGUCUUGAUAAGGUUGUAACAGUUCAGUGUACCAGUGGCAACUGAAAGAUAUAACUGACAAACACUCAGGAGCCAAGCAGCCCAAAAUCCAG
rnacentral:lncRNA from 1 species